CUUAGCUUUAUUUCCUCAGAACAGUAAGAUAAAUUCAGACAGGGUAGAGGAGAUCAGUUCAAAUUAAAACUGCAUUGUUUAGCAUAGGAUUAGUAAGAAGUUUGAACUAAUUCCACGAGUUUGAGAUGUUUUCAUCUAGGCAAAAUCUUUGGGACCUCAGCAUCCCUAGAAUGUGAUACAGCAAAAGGCUUUUCAGGUAUUCAUUUUGGGAAGCUUCAGGUUGUACUUCAAGUGGUUUUAUUCUUUGCCAUUGACAGAGAAAGAGGAAACACGUCAGAAAAAGGAAUAAAGGAAAAGGAACUGGUGCUGAAAACCCUGUUCAAGAUUAAGAAUGCUUAGACAAGAUCAUUCUGAAGACCAACAUGGUACAAUGUGAAAACUUCUCCAGCUGUGCAGAACAACAUACCAAGUAUGGUAAUUACUGAGUGACUGAGCGUGGAAGCAUUUGUGUACAAGUUUCUUUAGCUAACACACCUAUGUGGCUGCUACAGAGCAGAAGAAAGUCUCUAUAUUCCUCAUGAAAUUAGUACAGUCUUUCAGUUUUCAGCAUGGUUAACCAGCCUUAUGAUUAAGGACACAAAACCAAGACUUUGUGUCACAAUAGGGCCCAAGCAAGUGGCUUAAUGCUCAUGUAUUAAAGGAAUUAAAUAAGACUCAGAAGCAGCCCUAAUGUGAUGAGCAGGGUUGUUUCACAACAUGAGUGUUUGCAACUUGAUCUGCUUUUCAAAGAGACUGCAAGAACACACAAAUGGAAACUACACUGAAGGACCAAUUGUUCAUAUCAUUGCCAAACUUUCCAAAUUUUGGUACUUCAAGGGUGUAGAAAAUGAAAUCAGAUCACAAGUUUCUUUUGUUGCACAGGGAGCUGCCGUUACUAUAUUAGUUGCAGCCAAAUUUAACAAUGGAAAUGUACAUAUAUCAAAAUAGCACUAAAAAAGCUACAAAUACGAGUAUGUAGAAAAUAACAUGAUCUACAAGACAGAAAAGACACUGUAAUUUUUGUCUAUGAAGUCAGCAAUAAAUCAGAAAAAUAUUGCAAUUUAAGUCACAAACUUUGAAACUUCUUAUUCGAAAGAAGGUCUCAGCCUUGACCACCGUGCACCAUGUGCAUAGAAAGGCUAUGCCUCCAUAGCCUACGAACUUGGCAAAAAACCCACAGAUGGUUACCCAGUGCCACCCUGUGUUGAAACACGUAACUACAUGGACAAACCCUUUUACGUAAGGGUA